GUAGGUGGCAAGCGUUGUCCGGAAUUAUUGGGCGUAAAGCGCGCGCAGGCGGUUCUUUAAGUCUGAUGUGAAAGCCCACGGCUCAACCGUGGAGGGUCAUUGGAAACUGGAGAACUUGAGUACAGAAGAGGAAAGCGGAAUUCCACGUGUAGCUGUGAAAUGCGUAGAGAUGUGGAGGAACACCAGUGGCGAAGGCGGCUUUCUGGUCUGUAACUGACGCUGAGGCGCGAAAGCGUGGGGGAGCAAACAGGAUUAGAUACCCUGGUAGUCCACGCCGUAAACGAUGAGUGCAAGUGUUAGGGGGUUUCCGCCCCUUAGUGCUGCAGCUAACGCAUUAAGCACUCCGCCCUGGGAGUACGGCCGCAAGGCUG
rnacentral:rRNA from 1 species